rnacentral:rRNA from 1 species
AUUGAACGCUGGCGGCAGGCUUAACACAUGCAAGUCGAACGAGCGGCGGACGGGUGAGUAAUGUCUGGGAAACUGCCUGAUGGAGGGGGAUAACUACUGGAAACGGUAGCUAAUACCGCAUACCAUCAGAGGUGCCCAGAUGGGAUUAGCUAGUUGGUGGGGUAAAGGCUCACCAAGGCGACGAUCCCUAGCUGGUCUGAGAGGACGACCAGCCACACUGGAACUGUGACACGGUCCAGACUCCUACGGGAGGCAGCAGUGGGGAAUAUUGCACAAUGGGCGCAAGCCUGAUGCAGCCAUGCCGCGUGUGUGAAGAAGGCCUUCGGGUUGUAAAGCACUUUCAGCGGGGAGGCGUUACUCGCAGAAUAAGCACCGGCUAACUCCGUGCCAGCAGCCGCGGUAAUUC